ensembl:lncRNA
GGGCAACUUGAUUUGAAUGAUUAAUGUAAUCAUCAAAGCUCAUAUCAGGUUGGCCCACAGCCCUACAUUCGAUAUCUACUGGCUCUUCACAGAUCUCUUUUCCAUUUUCAGCUAUGUUUUUAUAAGUCUCCAAGUCAUCCCAUCCUCCUACUGCAGGAUUAUAUACAUUAAACCAGUCAGACCACCAACAUAUCAUACAAAAUGUUGUAGUAGAGGAUUCUGUCAUAGUUGUCGGUGUAGGGGUAGAUGAUGUGGUAGGUCCUGGUGUUGUUGUAGUAGACGUUGUAGUAGUUGUCGGUGCAGGGGUAGAUGAUGUAGUAGGUUCUGGUGUUGUAGUAGUAUACAUUGUAGUAGUUGUCGGCGUAGCGGUAGAUGAUGUGGUAGGUUCUGGUGUUGUAGUAGACUUUGUUGUAGUUGUUGGUAUAGUAGAUGAUGUGGUAUGUUCUGGUGUUGUUGUAGUAGGUAUAGUAGUUGUCAGUGUUGGAGUAGAUGAUGUGGUAGGUUCUGGUGUUGUUGUAGUAGUUGUCGGUGUAGGGGUAGAUGAUGUGGUAGGUUCUGGUGUUGUUGUAGUAGUCUUUGUUGUGGUAGAUGAUGUGGUAGGUUCUGGUGUUGUAGUAGUAGAUGUAGUAGUUGUCAGUGUUGGAGUAAAUGAUGUGGU